rnacentral:rRNA from 1 species
AAUCGAUGCAACGCGAAGACCUUACCUAGGCUUGACAUCCCUGGAAUUUUGUGGAAACACAAAGUGCCUUUCGGGGACCAGGAGACAGGUGCUGCAUGGCUGUCGUCAGGCUCGUGUCGUGAGAUGUUGGGUUAAGUCCCGCAACGAGCGCAACCCCUACGUUAGUUGCUAACGCGUGAAGGCGAGCACUCUAGACGAACUGCCGUUGACAAAACGGAGGAAGUGGGAUGACGUCAAAUCAUCAUGCCCUUAUGUUCUGGGCUACACACGUGCUACAAUGGCCGGUACAGACGGACGCAAAGCCGCGAGGUGGAGCAAAUCCUAAAAAGCCGGUCUCAGUUCGGAUUGCAGGCUGCAAUUCGCCUGCAUGAAGUCGGAAUCGCUAGUAAUCGCAGGUCAGCAUACUGCGGUGAAUACGUUCCCGGGCCUU